UACGUAGGGUGCGAGCGUUGUCCGGAAUUAUUGGGCGGAAAGGGCUCGUAGGCGGUUUGUCGCGUCGGGAGUGAAAACCUCGGGCUUAACUCGGGGCUUGCUUUCGAUACGGGCAGACUAGAGGUAUGCAGGGGAGAACGGAAUUCCUGGUGUAGCGGUGAAAUGCGCAGAUAUCAGGAGGAACACCGGUGGCGAAGGCGGUUCUCUGGGCAUGAUCUGACGCUGAGGAGCGAAAGUGUGGGGAGCGAACAGG
rnacentral:rRNA from 1 species